UGUCCUACGGGACGCAGCAGUGGGGAAUAUUGGGCAAUGGGCGCAAGCCUGACCCAGCAACGCCGCGUGAAGGAAGAAGGCUUUCGGGUUGUAAACUUCUUUUAAGAGGGACGAAGGAAGUGACGGUACCUCUUGAAUAAGCCACGGCUAACUACGUGCCAGCAGCCGCGGUAAUACGUAGGUGGCAAGCGUUAUCCGGAUUUAUCGGGUGUAAAGGGCGUGUAGGCGGGAGCGCAAGUCAGAUGUGAAAACUCAGGGCUCAACCCUGAGCCUGCAUUUGAAACUGUGUUUCUUGAGUGCUGGAG
rnacentral:rRNA from 1 species